rnacentral:rRNA from 1 species
CCCUUAGAUGUCCGGGGCCGCACGCGCGCUACACUGAAGGAAUCAGCGUGGCUUUCUCCCUGACCCGAAAGGGUUGGGAAACCCGUUGAAUCUCCUUCGUGAUAGGGAUUGGGGCUUGAAAUUGUUCCCCAUGAACAAGGAAUUCCCAGUAAGCGCGAGUCAUAAGCUCGCGUUGAUUACGUCCCUGCCCUUUGUACACACCGCCCGUCGCUACUACCGAUUGAACGGUUUAGUGAGGGCCUCGGAUUGGUCUCGGCCCGCUCUUUACCGGGCGGCGCCGUUGGUCGAGAAGACGCUCGAACUUGAUCGUUUAGAGGAAGUAAAAGUCGUAACA